UUAGCAGGGAAGAAGCGAAAGUGACGGUACCUGCAGAAAAAGCGGCGGCUAACUACGUGCCAGCAGCCGCGGUAAUACGUAGGGCGCAAGCGUUAUCCGGAAUUAUUGGGCGUAAAGAGCUCGUAGGCGGUUUGUCGCGUCUGCUGUGAAAUCCGGAGGCUCAACCUCCGGCCUGCAGUGGGUACGGGCAGACUAGAGUGCGGUAGGGGAGAUUGGAAUUCCUGGUGUAGCGGUGGAAUGCGCAGAUAUCAGGAGGAACACCGAUGGCGAAGGCAGAUCUCUGGGCCGUAACUGACGCUGAGGAGCGAAAGGGUGGGGAGCAAACAGGCUUAGAUACCCUGGUAGUCCACCCCGUAAACGUUGGGAACUAGUUGUGGGGUCCAUUCCACGGAUUCCGUGACGCAGCUAACGCAUUAAGUUCCCCGCCUGGGGAGUACGGCCGCAAGGCUAAAACUCAAAGGAAUUGACGGGGACCCGCACAAGCGGCGGAGCAUGCGGAUUAAUUCGAUGCAACGCGAAGAACCUUACCAAGGCUUGACAUAUACGAGAACGGGCCAGAAAUGGUCAACUCUUUGGACACUCGUAAACAGGUGGUGCAUGGUUGUCGUCAGCUCGUGUCGUGAGAUGUUGGGUUAAGUCCCGCAACGAGCGCAACCCUCGUUCUAUGUUGCCAGCACGUAAUGGUGGGAACUCAUGGGAUACUGCCGGGGUCAACUCGGAGGAAGGUGGGGAUGACGUCAAAUCAUCAUGCCCCUUAUGUCUUGGGCUUCACGCAUGCUACAAUGGCCGGUACAAAGGGCUGCAAUACCGCGAGGUGGAGCGAAUCCCAAAAAGCCGGUCCCAGUUCGGAUUGAGGUCUGCAACUCGACCUCAUGAAGUCGGAGUCGCUAGUAAUCGCAGAUCAGCAACGCUGCGGUGAAUACGUUCCCGGGUCUUGUACACACCGCCCGUCAAGUCAUGAAAGUCGGUAACACCUGAAGCCGGUGGCCUAACCCUUGUGGAGGGAGCCGUCGAAGGGGAUACG
rnacentral:rRNA from 1 species